rnacentral:tRNA from 1 species
CGCGGGAUGGAGCAGUUUGGUAGCUCGUCGGGCUCAUAACCCGAAGGUCGUAGGUUCAAAUCCUACUCCCGCAACCG